rnacentral:rRNA from 1 species
UACGGAGGGGGCUAGCGUUGUUCGGAAUUAUUGGGCGUAAAGGGCGCGUAGGCGGCCGGAUAAGUCUGAUGUGAAAUCCCUCGGCCCAACCGGGGAACUGCAUUUGAAACUGUCUGGCUCGAGUCCGGGAGAGGGUAGCGGAAUUCCCAGUGUAGCGGUGAAAUGCGUAGAUAUUGGGAGGAACACCGGUGGCGAAGGCGGCUACCUGGACCGGUACUGACGCUGAGGCGCGAAAGCUAGGGUAGCAAACAGG